UUAUCAUAGCACAAAACUGAGUAAACUGUGCUUCAUUUUUUCCAUGCAUCCCAUUGUCCUGCCUGUUCUCCUGGAAACACUUUAAAUUGAGGAUGAACUUCUGUUCAACAGUCCAUCCCUUAGUAGAGGGGCAUGGUCCAGGCAGUGAAAACUUCAUUUCCCAUACUAUCUUCAAGGAAAUCCAUGGGAUUAUCGCCACCUGUUACCACUGUGCAGCUCUCAGAUACUGUUCCACAUUGUGAGGUGAGAUAAUAAGUGAAUGCAAAUGUGAAAGACAAUUGCAAGGAUGGACGGCUGCAAAACAGACUCACAGGUAGGCUGUCCUGCCUCAGGAUCCAUGUUUGGGUAUCCUGGGACUCUACACUUUAAUCCAGCUUCCAUGUAAUCUUUCUUUGAUGCUUGUAUUCCCUCUGCUUAUUUUCCUGCUUCAUCUCCGCAUGGCUUUUCUGGUCUCAGUGCCUCACUAGUGCUUUUUGCUCCCUUGCUUUCAAAUUGCUUCCAUCCAGGAAAAAAACAAAAAACAAACAAAUAGAAAAAACAAUGAAAAAAAAAAAACCACACCAAAAACAAAGCAACUGAAUGUAACAGAUUCAAACAUACACACUAAUGCUGGUGAGACACACACUGCCCACACUGUGGUGGGAUGCAGUUGCCAAAGCGUAGCUGUAUUGUGCUCCUGAGGUUGCACUUGGACAGCUAGAGGUCCUCUUUGGUCGGCCUCCUGGAGACAUCAUUGUAUGUCACUGAACUCCUGCAUUUACACAACUAUAUUUCACCCACAAUGAAACGCUGCAGUCUUUGUAAAGGUUGAGCAAAAGUAUUCUGAUGACUUUUU
rnacentral:lncRNA from 1 species